rnacentral:rRNA from 1 species
GCUUAACACAUGCAAGUCGAGGGGCAGCAUGGUCUUAGCUUGCUAAGGCCGAUGGCGACCGGCGCACGGGUGAGUAACACGUAUCCAACCUGCCGUCUACUCUUGGACAGCCUUCUGAAAGGAAGAUUAAUACAAGAUGGCAUCAUGAGUCCGCAUGUUCACAUGAUUAAAGGUAUUCCGGUAGACGAUGGGGAUGCGUUCCAUUAGAUAGUAGGCGGGGUAACGGCCCACCUAGUCUUCGAUGGAUAGGGGUUCUGAGAGGAAGGUCCCCCACAUUGGAACUGAGACACGGUCCAAACUCCUACGGGAGGCAGCAGUGAGGAAUAUUGGUCAAUGGGCGAGAGCCUGAACCAGCCAAGUAGCGUGAAGGAUGACUGCCCUAUGGGUUGUAAACUUCUUUUAUAAAGGAAUAAAGUCGGGUAUGCAUACCCGUUUGCAUGUACUUUAUGAAUAAGGAUCGGCUAACUCCGUGCCAGCAGCCGCGGUAAUACGGAGGAUCCGAGCGUUAUCCGGAUUUAUUGGGUUUAAAGGGAGCGUAGAUGGAUGUUUAAGUCAGUUGUGAAAGUUUGCGGCUCAACCGUAAAAUUGCAGUUGAUACUGGAUAUCUUGAGUGCAGUUGAGGCAGGCGGAAUUCGUGGUGUAGCGGUGAAAUGCUUAGAUAUCACGAAGAACUCCGAUUGCGAAGGCAGCCUGCUAAGCUGCAACUGACAUUGAGGCUCGAAAGUGUGGGUAUCAAACAGGAUUAGAUACCCUGGUAGUCCACACGGUAAACGAUGAAUACUCGCUGUUUGCGAUAUACGGCAAGCGGCCAAGCGAAAGCGUUAAGUAUUCCACCUGGGGAGUACGCCGGCAACGGUGAAACUCAAAGGAAUUGACGGGGGCCCGCACAAGCGGAGGAACAUGUGGUUUAAUUCGAUGAUACGCGAGGAACCUUACCCGGGCUUAAAUUGCAGAUGAAUUACGGUGAAAGCCGUAAGCCGCAAGGCAUCUGUGAAGGUGCUGCAUGGUUGUCGUCAGCUCGUGCCGUGAGGUGUCGGCUUAAGUGCCAUAACGAGCGCAACCCUUGUUGUCAGUUACUAACAGGUUCCGCUGAGGACUCUGACAAGACUGCCAUCGUAAGAUGUGAGGAAGGUGGGGAUGACGUCAAAUCAGCACGGCCCUUACGUCCGGGGCUACACACGUGUUACAAUGGGGGGUACAGAGGGCCGCUACCACGCGAGUGGAUGCCAAUCCCCAAAACCUCUCUCAGUUCGGACUGGAGUCUGCAACCCGACUCCACGAAGCUGGAUUCGCUAGUAAUCGCGCAUCAGCCACGGCGCGGUGAAUACGUUCCCGGGCCUUGUACACACCGCCCGUCAAGCCAUGGGAGCCGGGGGUACCUGAAGUGCGUAACCGCGAGGAGCGCCCUAGGGUAAAACUGGUGACUGGGGCUAA